rnacentral:tRNA from 1 species
GCCUCUUUAGCUCAGUGGCAGAGCACUGGUCUUGUAAACCAGGGGUCGUGAGUUCGAUCCUCACAAGAGGCU